CCUUGACAUACUAAGAACUUUCCAGAGAUGGAUUGGUGCCUUCGGGAACUUAGAUACAGGUGCUGCAUGGCUGUCGUCAGCUCGUGUCGUGAGAUGUUGGGUUAAGUCCCGNAACGAGCGCAACCCUUUUCCUUAUUUGCCAGCGGGUCAUGCCGGGAACUUUAAGGAUACUGCCAGUGACAAACUGGAGGAAGGCGGGGACGACGUCAAGUCAUCAUGGCCCUUACGGCCAGGGCUACACACGUGCUACAAUGGUCGGUACAAAGGGUUGCUACCUCGCGAGAGGAUGCUAAUCUCAAAAAGCCGAUCGUAGUCCGGAUCGCAGUCUGCAACUCGACUGCGUGAAGUCGGAAUCGCUAGUAAUCGCGGAUCAGAAUGCCGCGGUGAAUACGUUCCCGGGCCUUGUACACACCGCCCGUCACACCAUGGGAGUUUGUUGCACCAGAAGUAGGUAGUCUAACCGCAAGGAGGACGCUUACCACGGUGUGGCCGAUGACUGGGGUGAAGUCGUAACAAGGUAAGCGUAGAUGA
rnacentral:rRNA from 1 species